GUAGGUGGCAAGCGUUGUCCGGAAUUAUUGGGCGUAAAGCGCGCGCAGGCGGUUCUUAAAGUCUGAUGUGAAAGCCCACGGCUCAACCGUGGAGGGUCAUUGGAAACUGGAGAACUUGAGUACAGAAGAGGAAAGCGGAAUUCCACGUGUAGCGGUGAAAUGCGUAGAGAUGUGGAGGAACACCAGUGGCGAAGGCGGCUUUCUGGUCUGUAACUGACGCUGAGGCGCGAAAGCGUGGGGAGCAAACAGGGAUUAGAUACCCUGGUAGUCCACGCCGUAAACGAUGAGUGCUAAGUGUUAGGGGGUUUCCGCCCCCUUAGUGCUGCAGCUAACGCAUUAAGCACUCCGCCUGGGGAGUACGGCCGCAAGGCUG
rnacentral:rRNA from 1 species